AUUGAACGCUAGCGGCAUGCCUUACGCAUGCAAGUCGAACGGUAACGGGCCUUCGGGUGCCGACGAGUGGCGAACGGGUGAGUAAUGUAUCGGAACGUACCUUUCAGUGGGGGAUAACGUAGCGAAAGUUACGCUAAUGCCGCAUAUUCUGUGAGCAGGAAAGCAGGGGAUCGCAAGACCUUGCGCUGAUUGAGCGGCCGAUAUCAGAUUAGCUAGUUGGUGAGGUAAAGGCUCACCAAGGCUACGAUCUGUAGCGGGUCUGAGAGGAUGAUCCGCCACACUGGAACUGAGACACGGUCCAGACUCCUACGGGAGGCAGCAGUGGGGAAUUUUGGACAAUGGGGGCAACCCUGAUCCAGCCAUGCCGCGUGAGUGAAGAAGGCCUUCGGGUUGUAAAGCUCUUUCGGCCGGGAAGAAAUCGUAUCAGCUAAUACCUGGUGCGGAUGACGGUACCGGCAUAAGAAGCACCGGCUAACUACGUGCCAGCCGCCGCUGUAAGAC
rnacentral:rRNA from 1 species